CAUAUGCAUACAAACUAUUUUAACUUGGGUUUUGAGAACAGCGCACACACAGAACAGAGCUCUGUCCUCCAACAUGUGGUGACCCAACAGACAGCUGCAGGAUGAGAGGAAGGAGGGAGUAGGGGGGUGUCAGGGAAGGGAAGGAAGAAGAGAGGAAGUCAGUAAGGGACGAUGAGGGGGAGGGUUGCUUCCCUUCCCUCAACUACUGAGAGGGAAAAAAAAACUAAAAGAGGCGCGGAAACUCAGUUCCUGUCCCGCCAGAAGCAGCUUGUUACGUCAUGUCCUGCCCUUUCCACACAUGGAUCAGAGGUGAUCUUCCCCGGCCUGUAAUGAGAUCCUUGUUUUCCUCUUGCUGAAAGUUCCUGGCAGCUUACACACUGAGAGGGAAGAGAGGCGGUUCUGCUUUCUGUCCCACAAUUCUCUUAAGAAUCUAGUCAAAUUAUGGUCAUUCAGCUCAGCCAGGCCCCGAACAGAGCCAAUAAAUGGCCACUGCAUAGAUCUGUAAUGAAGAUGUCGAGAACAGAGAAAAGCAUCCAAUCCUUGGGCUGACAGUUGCUGUAGCAACCACAUAAUACAAGAAGAGAGGGGAGAGGAGUCGGCCAUUUUGGGCAGAAACCUUCACGUCAGAAAACCUGAAUUAGCAGGCCUUGGAAUGGACGUCACGCCUGAUUCAUGAGCAACACUCACAUCAUCUCCAUCCCUCCAGCUCAACAGUCCCUCCUUCCAUCCCCCAACAUCUGCAGCAGUUACCACGCAGCCCAAGACGGAGCAUUUUGUCUCUGUGUUCACUCAGAUGGAAAAAUUCCACACAACGUCCGGUGCAGUGUCCAGGAGGAGGGCAGGGUGUGUAUGCAAUGUGUCAGUGGUUGAAAUAACAGUGGAAACAAUGACUUGAGUCUCUUUGGCAAUAAAUCUUGUCGAGUUUGCCCCACCACCAUUUCUGUGUUCUGUGUGAUUACUAAGGCUUCCACAGUAAGAGCUCAAAGAUGAGUCAGUGUGAGUGUGUGUACUGUCAGUGCAGAGGCAGAGGAGUACGACAGGACAAGGAGGAUACAAGUUGUGAAAUUAAGGAAUCUUUAGUUGGGAGCCUGAAGGUUGCAUAAUAUGUAAGUGUUCAUGUAGCUCUAUAGCCUCCUGUUUAUGAUAAAACACUGGGCGUGUGAUCUGUGUGUUGCAGUGGAAACACACAUCUCUGUCAUGUUAUUGAAUUCAACACAUCAACUGUACUGUGUAUCAGAAGAACUGCAGGUAGCUAUGCUCACUGUCUGACCUCUGGAUGUGAAAUGGACACAGCCACUACACGGAAACAUCAAUGUGGACACAGAGGGCUUUUAUCAAUGAGCAAGUCUGGCUAGUUGCCCUCCAAACAAACAGGAGCCUAAAUAAAGCGCCACUGCCUACGCACACUGGCUAAACUGAUAAACAGGCAGAAAUGGAUUUGAAAAAGAGAGGAUGAGGAAAAGGUGACGAGGUAUACG